rnacentral:tRNA from 1 species
GGGAAGCUGGCUCAGUGGUAGAGUGCUUGCCUUGCAUGCAGGAGGUCCUGGGUUCAAUUCCCCAGCCCCA